AAUUUAUUCACUCAUGUUUCUAUUUACAAUGUUAGUCAUAAAUGAUACUACAACUCCCAAAAAUUGAAUUCAUAGGCAAUUAAUGAGUAACCGACUAACAGGUAGAUACCUGAGCAUUGUCCAAGUAAUGAUACUCUUCCAGUGUAUUCCUAGUUACUUGGAUCAAUCACUUGAGAAUAAGGAUCCUGAUAUACUCGCCAACAUCUCAGUCCUAGCAUCCCUAAAACUCCUAAGCAAUUUCGAGUCUAGGUCUUAUCAUGAUACUAACUCCUAAUUCUAAUAAAAAUCUAAACCAAAGCCUAUAAGAGUCAUUAGUGCACGUAUCUAACCCAGUUAAUCCCAUUUAUCCAUUGAUGAGUUCCUAAUAUUGACUUAAGCAUUGGAGUGUUGCCAACCAACCCACCUAGUGUUUUCUUGUAUUGCAGAUCCAAGAUCCAUGAUCCAAACCCACAGAAGAGGAGAAUAGCAUAACUGGUGUCGUCUAUGAGAGAGUUGCCUCAAAAUUUUCCUAUUUGAUGAACAAAUCUUAUGAUUGCUAUUUUUCACCAUUAUUUUCACCAUGGCUUCAGGUCCACCACUAGUUGAUGGAACCACUAAUGACGUCACUAUUGCAAAUAACACACUAACACAACCCAUGUAGCCAUGAAUUUGAAAGAUUGUCAGAAGAAGAUUAUUAUAACUCUUUCCACUAACCGUCUUAGAAUGGACUUUAAUUUAUACCGAAGAUUAAAGUUGUCGAGGAAGCCCCAUCGAGUUUAAUGAUUGCUACACUUGUGUCGACGACAGAGUCGGAGUUGACUGCAACUUUUGAGCAUAAGAUUUUAACCCUUUAGUUUUGCAAUUUCAAUAAAAA
rnacentral:misc_RNA from 1 species